AACCUUUUUCGGUCUCGCGAAUGCAUCAGAUGAUUUANUGAUCAUGGCUCAGAUUGACCGCUAGCGUUGAUGCCUUACACAUGCAAGUCGAACGGCAGCACAGACUUCGGUCUGGUGGCGAGUGGCGAACGGGUGAGUAAUGUAUCGGAACGUGCCCAGUAGUGGGGGAUAACUACGCGAAAGCGUAGCUAAUACCGCAUACGCCCUACGGGGGAAAGCAGGGGAUCGCAAGACCUUGCACUAUUGGAGCGGCCGAUAUCGGAUUAGCUAGUUGGUGGGGUAACGGCUCACCAAGGCGACGAUCCGUAGCUGGUUUGAGAGGACGACCAGCCACACUGGGACUGAGACACGGCCCAGACUCCUACGGGAGGCAGCAGUGGGGAAUUUUGGACAAUGGGGGAAACCCUGAUCCAGCCAUCCCGCGUGUGCGAUGAAGGCCUUCGGGUUGUAAAGCACUUUUGGCAGGAAAGAAACGUCAUGGGUUAAUACCCCGUGAAACUGACGGUACCUGCAGAAUAAGCACCGGCUAACUACGUGCCAGCAGCCGCGGUAAUACGUAGGGUGCAAGCGUUAAUCGGAAUUACUGGGCGUAAAG
rnacentral:rRNA from 1 species